CGUUCGAUAGCUCAGUUGGUAGAGCGGAGGACUGUAGAUCCUUAGGUCGCUGGUUCAACUCCGGCUCGAAGGG
rnacentral:tRNA from 1 species